rnacentral:lncRNA from 1 species
GGGCUUUGUUUUUUCCCUCUAGGCCUAUCAGAUUUGGAUAACAGAUAUUUGAAGUUUCACCUUCACAUCUAAAACCCUCUUCUGACAGAUGGAGAUCCAAGGCAUGGAUAAAGAGCUGGGUAUCCCUAAAAUUGCCAUCUGCUGGCCUGUUGGGUGUGAUGGCUGCAUCCACUGAUGCUGUUCAGGAAAGGUGAAAAUAUAAAUGUUUCUACUGUUUUUCUUUGUGCUAGUCCACUUUGACCACUCAUCUUACACCAGUGGAACUCCAUAAAAUGCUGCUAUUUAUAUCAGCCCAGGAAGAAAUUAUUUAUUUUAUUCAGAAAUUAAUAUUGGAUGUGCUUGCUAAACCUGGAGCUCUACAUGUCUGAGGAGUUAAAAGUUCAGGAU